rnacentral:rRNA from 1 species
GACGAACGCUGGCGGCGUGCCUAAUACAUGCAAGUCGAGCGAAUGAUUAGAGAAGCUUGCUUCUCUCUGAUUUAGCGGCGGACGGGUGAGUAACACGUGGGUAACCUACCCUAUAGACUGGGAUAACUUCGGGAAACCGGAGCUAAUACCGGAUGAUACUUCGAAACACAUGUUUUGAAGUUGAAAGAUGGUUUCGGCUAUCAUUAUAGGAUGGACCCGCGGCGCAUUAGCUAGUUGGUGAGGUAACGGCUCACCAAGGCAACGAUGCGUAGCCGACCUGAGAGGGUGAUCGGCCACACUGGGACUGAGACACGGCCCAG